AGCGCCAUCGCCUCUGUUCCGAACUGCUGUGACGGAAAAAGGGGAGCGACGGUGUUGCUUCCUGGCUGCAACAUCAGAUAUGAAUUCUUUCCAUUUUUCAAUACCACCCCAUCAUCGAAUCCUCCCGCCGUUCAAUCUCGUCCUUCAGGAAGGAGCCAUGUUUCAGUGAUUCUGGAUUCAUCAUCCCAAUUGUUGCUUCGGCAACACUUUUUGCCUUCGGCUUCUGUUCUUUCGCUCGAAAACAAGGAAGAUAUAUGCUAGUGUUGUGUAGGAAAACGAAUUUGCCUGAAGUAUAAUCGUAUGGAUGAGGGGUGGCAUGACUCGGAAGAAAAUUUGGGAAGUUAAAAAUUAGGACAAAAUAUUAAUGAAAGUUCAGCCCAAGACUGAGCUUUGGAAGAGCCUGGGAAGUGCCACCUGCCGCAGUGAGGUAGGAGGAGAAGUUGCGUCUGAUGGA